UUUAAAGAGCCAAGGUCCCGCUAUGUUGCCC
rnacentral:piRNA from 1 species